rnacentral:lncRNA from 1 species
AAACAAUGUCACAGAGCAGCAACACUGGGAAUCCAAUGAAAUCGAUCAACUGUGUCAUUUCUGAACCGUACUAUUUACUCCAUUUUCUAUCACUCUUCUCAUACAUUCCCAUUCGCUGUUCCGCCUCCGCUCUUCUUAUCUCCUUUGCAGAGUAUUCACUUCUUCACGGAUUAUAUUCCUUUUCUAAAUAUUGCAAUUGAAAUCGCUUAGUUUAGUGAUAUAAUUGUUUUGCUUCUUUGUGGUGAAUCUGCAGGAAAUUCAAGCGGUUCUUGCAUUUUGUGUUUUAUCAGCUGUUAAGUUAUGAUUAUUUUUACCAAAAUCGAAAUUUUGAAAGAAUCAUUUUGGUACAUGUAUUUAAUUAAACGAAUAUAGAUGAUAUUUGCAAGGAAAGGUAAUAUUGGCUUUAUUUCCCAACUUUAGUUUACAUAAGGUGGAAAUAACAAACUUUAGUUUGAUACGAUGGUUUAUUCUAAUUGUUAAAAGAUUGUCUAGAUACAAUUGUUAAUAAAGAUGUUCUUGUUUGUUAUAUUUACUGACAGGUGGUAAAAGUGGAAACAUGGGAGGGUUUCAUAUCAGAUACUUUAUUUUUUGCCAAUGUUGCAUUUGCCUCAAAUGCGUUGUGUAAACAGCUUGUAUUAAAAAACUAAAAUGAACCAGAUUUGCUAAAUGUCGUCAUACAGUCAUAAAUUGCAAAAUUUAGGAAACACUGAAACUUUUGGAAAUGAUAGAACUGAAAAUUUUUAGGAUUUGAUAGGAUAUAUUUCAAUAAAGAAGAAAAGGAGUAUAAAGAGAAGAAAAAGUGAGAAAUGGGAAUGCCACAUUAGACUUUUAUUGAUUGCCUUGCUCAGUAUGACAGCAUGGCAUAUCCACUAACAUCUCCACAUGAAUGAUAGUGUCACAAUGAAAAUAUGUUCAUUUUAUCAUCUUCAUCAAAAAGAGAAUUUCCUUAUCGCUUUUUGAUGAUGAUAUUUUAAAUGAAACAGCAAUAUAGAUUUGUAAAAUAUUAAUCACUUAUGGUAGACACAAGUAGUUAGUUUUCGCCUCUGCCGUAGAGCUCACCAUUUGUAAGGAAAGAGGUCUUUGACAAAGAACUUAAUUGUGAGAUGUAAAGAGCAUCUUGAGGAUAGUUAUCUCAUUGCAUAUCAUUUUGACAUUUACAAAAGUUUUGGACUUAGCUAUAUAGAGGAAACGGUGAUUCCAACAAGUUUGGUGGAUUCUUAGUCAGGCUGGUUUGAAUUAUAUUCAGUAACCUUUUUUGGAUAAUAUGUUAUCUGGAACGUGCCUUCCUACCUUUUAGCCUUUCAUGCCUAUUUUCUUUUCAUUUUACACAAUUCUUUUAUAUUUGAACUUUUAAGAAAAUAUAUCUUUUAACUCGAGUUCAUAUUUUCUCAGAUAUUCCUUGUUGCUUCUGGUUUGGUGAUGGACUAUCACGUGGCUCUGUGGUAUGCAUUAGUAUUUUCUGGUAGGUCUUGCACAGUGGAAGUUGUCAAAAGUUUAAAUUGACACAAUAAUUUUAACUUAUGUCAUUCUGCAUUUUUCCAACGGUUAUAUAUGUUAUAGCACAACAAGCUGCAUAUGAAGGAGGUAUGGGAUUAUCUCACUGUUACAAUUUUUUUCCCGUUUGCCCCUUGCAUUGAAACUUAGCUUCUUUGAGAUAAAGUUUAUAUGCUCUUACUCAAAGUCAUGAUGGCCUCCACAAUGUGAUAUACUAUCCUAAUAUAUAAUGUUGUCUUUUUUCUUUGACUGGUUUUUAUAAUUCGUCUUCAUUUGACUUUUCUAGGUACGGCAAACCAACUAACACCGCUCCAGUUGGAAACUUUGCUAACUGAAGGGAACAAGUCAAAAUCCAGGCUGGUUGGUUUUUGGACUUGCUUUAAUUAUUUCAACAAACAUAUGGAAUCUGAGUGCAUGUCUUUACAAAACUAUUGUGAUAAUAUUGUAGUGGGUGAACUUUUCAAUGAAAUGAAAAAAAUAAGAACCAAGAGAAUAACAGUAGUACUGGUUAUCUUGUGUAUUAUCACAUCCUUUGUAGCACAGACACUUCAAUUAAGGUAGCGUGUCUAUGUCUGACGCGUGUCAGACACUUGUCGAUAUUGACACUCUUCGGACACUCUAUCAUAAAUAUUUUUUAUUAAAAAUAUUAUAUAAUUUUAAUUCAAAAUUAUUAGUAAAUAACAAAUAGGUACUCAUAUUUAAAAGAUUUAAACAAGAAAAAUUAAUAACAAGUAUAUGAUUAAAUUUAUACUAUAUAAAUGAAGAAUUUUAAAGAAUUUAAUUGACGUGUUGGCGACGUAUCGUGUUGGCAUUUUUUUGAAAAAUUGCGUGUCGACGUAUCCGAGAAAAGUAUCGUGUUGUAGAUACGUAUCCGUGUCGAUGCAUCAUAUACUCCAAGUCCAAGAUUUUGUACUCAAUCUCCCUAUCAAGUCGUUGAUUCUACUUAAAAUAAAUGUUGUUGUCAGGUCAGUUUAAAGGUGUGAGAAUUGAUAAUAUUGCAUUAGGUAUCUGAUGUGAACUCACGCUACGGAACCCAAGAACAAGAUGCAAAUCUUCUCAAGAAAGCCAAAGCAAGGUUUUGGAUUUGAAUUCGAUAAAUUUGGAACCAAGCAACCCGAAUCGUCGACGAUGUUGGGACCUCUUGAUUACGCAAAAUUAUGGAAUCUCACUCGGUUGACUUGAACGCCACAAGAAUUAGAUCUUGAUGAGUUCGAAAGUUGUUCAAUUGGAAGAACAAAGAGAAAGCAAUUAAAGUUUUUCAAUUAAUCAAUAUGUUUAAGGUUCUUUACAAUGAGGAAAUAAACUUCUAUUUAUACUAAAUCCUAGAAUAGAAGUAAAAAAGGAAUAAAAUACUAAUAAUAUAGUAAAAUCUCGAAAAUAACCAUCCAAUAUCAUAAGAAUUUGACUAGGAAUAAAAUUCUAACAAAAUAUGGAAAAAACGUGGAAAAAAGAAAUUUUGUCUCGGAAAUAACACUAUGCGAUAGCAUGAUAGACCAGUUUGCCUUCGUUUUCGUUGGCUUGUAUUAAGUUAAUUCAAUUUCAUUCGGCUCUUGACUCGAACAUGAAAGUUGUCUCGUUUUACGUCCCGAACAUCGUUCCAUCAAUAGUUUCUUGAAAGAGCAAUCCCAUCGCCUCUUUUACUCGCUUCGUCUUCGUUCGAGUUAUCGGACUGCCCUCAACUAUCAACGGAUCUUUCUUCGGGUUUGACGUUGGACUUGAUCUUGAUGCUUGCGGCUCUUGGAUCACAUCAUCCCCUUCCUAUUCAAAAUGAUUCGUCCUUGAAUCUGUACCUGUACUAGAGAGAGAGAAAGAUUAGACACAUUAAAAGUUGCUGAAACGUUAUACUCACCUGGAAGAUUUAAUUUGUAUGUGUUGUCAUUGAUCUUCUCAAGCACUUGAAAUGGUCCAUCUCCACGUGGUAACAACUAUGAGUUUCUUUGUUCUGGAAACCGUUCUUUCUGAAAUGCACCCAACCCAAUUUUCUGGUUCGAAUGUAACAAUCUUCCUGCCCUUAUUUGCUUGUUCUACAUAGUGCUUACUUUUCUUCUCAAUUUGCUCUCGCACCUUUUUAUGGAGCGACUUUACCAACUCGGCCUUCCUCUUUCCAUCCAAGCUACCUCGUUCAUUUACAGACAAAGAUAUUAAAUCCAUAGGUGUUAUAGGAUUAAAACCAUAAACAAUUUCAAUGGAGAAAACGAUGUAGUGGAGUGUGUGACCCUAUUAUAUGCAAACUCUAUGAAAGGUAAGCACUCUUCCCAAUUCUUCAAAUUCUUAUUAACCACAGUGUGCAAUAGUUGUGUCAUGGUCCUAUUUACUACUUCUGUUUGUCCAUUGGUUUGUGAAUGACAAGUUGUAGAAAAUAGUAAUUUCGUGCCUAACUUAUUCCAUAAGACCCUUCAAAAGUGACUAAAAAAUUUGACAUCCUUAUCUGACACAAUAUUUUUAGGUACUCCAUGCAAGCGCACAAUUUCUUUAAAAAAAGUCUGCAAUGUUAGUGGCGUCAUCAGUUUUGUGACAUGGAAUGAAAUGUGCCAUCUUACUAAAUCUAUCCACCACUACAAAAAUUGAAUCCCGACCCUUUUUAGUCCUAGGCAAACCUAACAUAAAAUCCAUUGAGAUAUCUACCCAAGGCUCACUAGGUACUGGUAAAGGUGUAUAAAGCCCAUGAGGUAAUACCCUAGAUUUAGCCUGUUUACAAGUUAUGCAUCAACUACAAAUUCGUUCCACAUUAACUUUCAUUUUAGGCCAAUAAAAAUGCUCAGUUAAUAUUUCUUAAGUUUUUGCUAUCCUAAAGUGACCUAUUAGACCCCCACUAUGUGUUUCUCUAACCAAUAAUUCACGCAUAAAGCAAUUAGGAACAUAUAAUUUGUUUUCCCGAAACAAGUACACCUCAUGUUUAAAGAACUUAUCUACAGCCCUCUUAUGAUAUGAAUUGUAAAUGUUGGAAAAUUCAUAAUUAUUAGCAUAUAUGUCCUUAAUGUACUCAAAACGAAGUAAUUUUGCACUUAAAGUAGUUAAAAGCACAUACCUUCGCGACAAUGCCUUUGCUACUACAUUUUCCUUACUUUGUUUGUAACGAAUAACAUAUGAAAAAGUUUCUAUGAAUUCUAACCAGCGUGCAUGUUGUUUGUUUAACUUACCUUGACCCCGCAAAUGUUUUAGUGAUUCAUGAUCAUAAUGAAUUACAAACUCUUUUGACCACAGGUAAUGCUGCCAUGUCUCCAAAGCUCGAACAAGUAAAUAGAGCUCCUUGUCAUACGUAGGAUAGUUGAGAGCUGCACCACUUAGCUUCUCACUAAAGUAGGCUAUAGGUCUCUUAUCCUGUAUUAAGACUGCUCCAAUACCUAUUUCUGAUGCAUCACACUCAAUUUCGAAAGUUUUGUCAAAGUUAGGAAGUGCUGAAAUCGGUGCUUUAUACAAACAACCUUUGAUGGUGUUGAAUGCAUGUUUUUGUUCUACCCCCCAUUGAAACCCCAUAUUUUUCUUGGCAAUUUCAGUUAGUGGCGUGGUAAUCGUGCUGAAGUCCCUUACAAAAUGCCUGUAAAAACUAGCAAAUCCAUGAAAACUUUUAACUUCAGUUAUGUUUUUAGGUGUUGGCUAAUCCUUAGUAGCCUUUAUUUUCUCUUCAUCUAUUUCUACACCAUUAGCACUAUUCACAAAGCCUAGAAACACAACUCUAUCCAUGCAAAAAGUACACUUUUUAAAAUUGGCAUAAAAUUGUUCCUUUCUCAAAACCAUAAGCACACAUCUUAGGUGUCCUACAUGUUCAUCAAGAUUCUUGCUAUAGAUUAAAAUGUUAUCAAAAUAAAUUACAACAAAUUUUCUAAUGAAAGUAUGCAAAACAUGGUUCAUUAACCGCAUAAAAGUACUUGGUGCAUUUGUGAGUUCAAACGGCAUAACUAACCAUUCAUACAAUCCAUAUUUAUUUUUAAAAACCGUUUUUCAUUCAUUACCCUCCCUCAUGCGAAUUUGAUGAUACCCACUUUUAAGAUUAAUUUUACUUAAAAUACAUGCACCAUGUAGCUCAUCUAGCAUAUCAUCUAUCCUAGAAAUUGGAUGACGAUAUUUUACCGUAAUGUUGUUGAUGACUCUGUAAUCUACGCACAUUCUCUAAAUUCCAUCUUUCUUUGGCACCAGUAAUACAUGUACGACACAUGGUGUCAAGGUCCGCAGCUUUACUUAGCCUCUUGACACUAUCGCAGUCGCAGUUUGCCCAAUUUCGGCCAAACAUUGUAAAUAUUACUUCAAGUUUGAGUUGUAAUUUUCUUUUCAUUGUAAUAGUUAUUUCAAUUGUAAAAUAACUCUGAUAUUGGUAAACGUUUAGUAUGAUUUCUCGUCUUUUAAACGUCUACUCCCGUCACUUGUGUUUUUGUUCAGAAUGCUAUUAUAGGGGGUAUUAGUCAUUCAAAAAUCUUUCAAGCUCACUGGUGUCCGCCCCCUGCACCAGCAUUUGUAAUUUUCUGCUUUCAUCAAUUGUAAUGUUCAGUUUUCAUCAAUGAAUGUUCAAUUUACUUUCAAUGUAUUCAAAUUCUCAAUUGUAAGCUUUCUACAAAUUUGCAAUCAAAUUUUCUUUCGUCCCGACGCGAUCGAGAAAAGGCGGAAGGUAGUUUAGCGGAGCAGAUUACUGUCGCACGGUGUCCCUUUCUGUGCCAAGAAGAAAGGCACCCCGUGAAAGUUGGUAUCAAAGCUGCGACUCACGACCCUCGAUAAGAAAGCUAUGGAUCCAAUUAUAUCUCACACCACUGAAGUGGUAGAGUCUCAAAAGGGUACUACGAAACAGCGCGUGGAUGCGCUUGAUGAGACAACUGCUAGGUUGUGCUAUACUAUGGAAGGUCUCGAGGAAAAAGUCGAGAUGGCCGAAUCUGAGAUUCGUGGAUUACACAUCCAAUUGGAUGAAAGCCAAAGAGCUUGCGCAGCAAUGACGGAAGCUGCUGCAAUCAUUCUUGAUCUGCAGGAUGAAAUGGAAGCGUUGAGAGCUCAAUUGCGAGUACUCCAACGUGCGGUGGGCAAUGGCAAGCUCCCGCACACGAGUAUGCUCCUAGACUCAGAAUUCCUGAACCGUGUACCUACGGAGGGGCACGUGAUGCAAAAGAAGUCGAAAACUUCUUGUUUGAUAUGGAACAGUACUUUCUAGCAGUUUCGAUCGAAGAUGAAGUUAGAAAGGUAACCACAGCUACCAUGUAUCUGGGUGGAGAUGCAAAACUAUGAUGGCGAACCAAAUAUGCGGACAUUCAGGCCCACAGGAUUCAAAUUGAUUCUUGGGAUCUCUUCAAGGAAGCGAUCAGAUUGCAGUUUUUCCCGAAAAAUGUCGAGUAUCAGGCUCGACGGGCUCUUCGAGACCUGAGACACACGAGCUCUAUCAGGGAGUAUGUGAAAUCCUUCUCAGGGCAUAUGCUGAAUAUUCGAGAUAUGUCAGAAAAGGACAAGCUCUUCCCCUUUAUGGAAGGGUUGAAACUGUGGACACGUACGGAACUUCAAAGACAGAAGGUUACUGAUUUAAGCACGGCCAUGGGAGCCGCUGAAUGCUUGAGCGACUACCAAACAGAAUCUAGAAAAGAUCGACCUUCGGGGAGUAAUCAAGCAAUUGGAGGUGGUAACAUAUUUUACAGACCCAGCUCGAACCCAAAUGGGGGAGAGCGCUACUCUCAAAAUAGAGAAGGAGCCUAUCAAAGCACCCGUGGCUUUCAGAGAAAUUAUCAUAACAGCCGUCAGGGAAAUUUUAACGGCAGUAAUAGUAACAACUGGAACAAAGGAAAAGCAACGGAGGGCCGAACUGAUGCCACUCUCAAAUUGAAGUGCUUUUUAUGUGAAGGACCUCAUCGGGUGUCGGAGUGUCCUCAAAAGCGGAUGGAGAAUGCAUAUUGUCAGUUAGCAAGUGGCGGGCCAAGUUCAAAACAAGAGGUCCCGCAAGCUAAUUGUCAUAAUGAGACUGACUCUGAAGAGGAUGAGGAAGUAGUUGGGGCAUUUUCACAUCGGUGCAACACACUAUCGCAUCGGGUUGCUGAAAAGGAUGAUGUCCCAUUAAAAGAGGCAAAGAUGGAAGAAGCGAAGGCUCGUAUUUGUAGGGCCAAAGGCUUAAUGUUCAUUGAUGUUAAAAUCAAUGGGAAGCCAAUCAGGGUUAUGGUGGAUACUGGUGCUACCCACAACUACCUUGCAUGUACCGAAGUAGAGCGGCUCGGACUGGUUCUAGAAAAGGGUAGUGGAAAAGUCAAAGCAAUCAACUCCGCUGCUCAACCAAUAGCUGGAGUGGCAAAAUCGGUGUUGAUCAAAGCAGGUCCUUUCGAGGGAAGGACAAAUUUAUCUGCAGUUCAGAUGGAUGAUUUCAAGCUUAUUCUAGGAUUGGAAUUUCUUCGGGAUACUAAGACAGCAGUGUUGCCAUAUUCCAAUUCGUUAAUGAUGAUGGAUAAUAAGCCGUGUGUCAUCCCUACACAGGUUGGGAGGAUGGGCGAGAAGAGUAUCUCAGCCAUGCAAUUUAGUAAAGGUUUCAAGAGAAAUGAACCCUUUUUUUUGUGUACUCUUCGAUUAGAGGAGGUCGAAGAGGCGAAUGGUCCUAUUCCAAAACCCGUUAAAAGGUUUAUUCGGGAAUUUGAGGACAUCAUGCCGGAAGAAUUAUCAAAGAAAUUACCACCAAGAAGGACGAUUGAUCAUGAGAUCGAACUUAUUCCAGGCGCUAAAGCUCCCGCCAGGGCACCAUACCGUAUGUCUCAGCCUGAGCUUGAAGAGCUUAGGAAGCAGUUGGGGGAAAUGUUGGAGAGUGGAAUCAUUGUGCCUGCGAAGUCGCCAUACGGAGCUCCUGUAUUGUUUCAGAAAAAGCUGAUGGUUCUCUUAGAAUGUGUUGUGACUAUCGAGUCCUGAAUAAGAUUACUGUAAAGAAUAGCUAUCCUAUCCCACUAGUUGCAAAUUGCUUCGAUCGACUGAGUCGGGCGAAGUAUUACACAAAAAUUGAUCUUAGGUUCGGAUACUGGCAAGUUCGAAUUAAGGAGGAAGACGAAACAAAGACUACGGUGGUAACCAGAUAUGGAGCCUUUGAAUUUAAGGUGAUGCCUUUUGGUUUGACAAAUGCUCCAGCAACAUUUUGUACUAUGAUGAAUCAGGUACUUCACGGGUUCUUAGAUGAUUUUGUCGUGGUGUACUUGGAUGACAUAGUAAUCUACAGCGAGACAUUGGAGGAACAUGUCCAGCAUGUGAGGCAAGUUUUUAAUCGGCUACGAGAGAAUGAACUUUAUGCUAAGCCAUCUAAAUGCUCAUUUGCUCAGACAUCUAUCAGUUUUUUGGGUCACAUCAUUGAACAAGGCAAAAUUCGCAUGGAUUCGAAGAAGGUUACAGCCAUCAAAGAUUGGCAACCACCAAAAACUGUACAUGAUGUACGUUCAUUUCUUGGGUUAUGCAAUUACUAUCGAAGAUUUGUGAAAGGCUACUCAGAAAUUACAUUGCCCCUUACUGAAUUGACAAAGAAGGAUAAGGAUUGGGAUUGGUCAUCCCAAUGCCAAGCUGCUUUUGAAAGCUUGAAGAAGUCCAUGUGGACGAACCCGGUUUUAGCCUUACCGGAUAUGGCUAAACCAUUCGAAGUUCAUACAGAUGCUUCAGAUUUUGCCUUUGGUGAAGUCCUCAUGCAAGAAGGACAUCCGGUAGCAUAUGAGAGCCGAAAGUUAAACUAGACAGAACUCGGCACAUGAAAAGGAAUUGUUAGCAGUUGUCCAUUGUCUCAGAGGAUGGCGUCACUAUCUCCUUGGGUUUCCAUUUAUUGUGAAGACAGAUAACACUGCAGUUAGUCACUUUAUGUCCCAACCAAAACUGUCUAGCAAACAGGCUCGUUGGCAGGAAUUCCUUUCAGAGUUCAAUUUUAUGUUAGAGUAUCGUCUCGGCUCUAGUAAUCAUGUUGCUGAUGCUCUUAGUCGACGGGCCGAUUUAGCUACCAUCUGCUCUGUAGCUGCUCUUUCAGGGAGCACAGUCUCCACCAACACUAGAGACCAAAUUCGGGCACUUAUGGAGAAGGACCCGGCUACCCAAUAUUUGGUCGACCUUAUCAAGAAUUGCCGUGUGGACGUCGCCGGUUUUGGCUUUAUGGGAUAUUGGUGAACCAUUCGAAGUUCAUACAGAUGCUUCAGAUUUUGCCUUUGGUGGAGUCCUCAUGCAAGAAGGACAUCCGGUAGCAUAUGAGAGCCGAAAGUUAAACUAGACAGAACGUCGUUACUCGGCACAUGAAAAAGAAUUGUUAGCAGUUGUCCAUUGUCUCAGAGGAUGGCGUCACUAUCUCCUUGGGUCUCCAUUUAUUGUGAAGACAGAUAACACUGCAGUUAGUCACUUUAUGUCCCAACCAAAACUGUCUAGCAAACAGGCUCGUUGGCAGGAAUUCCUUUCAGAGUUCAAUUUUAUGUUAGAGUAUCGUCUCGGCUCUAGUAAUCAUGUUGCUGAUGCUCUUAGUCGACGGGCCGAUUUAGCUACCAUCUGCUCUGUAGCUGCUCUUUCAGGGAGCACAGUCUCCACCAACACUAGAGACCAAAUUCGGGCACUUAUGGAGAAGGACCCGGCUACCCAAUAUUUGGUCGACCUUAUCAAGCAGGGUAAAACUCGACAGUUCUGGCUAGAUGGGAAACUAGUGAAGACAAAGGAAGACCGCCUAUAUGUUCCUAAGGGCGGAGAUCUGAGGAAAUCACUAAUUACGGAAUGCCAUGACACAAUUUGGGUGGGGCAUCCCGGAGAGGAACGCACUUGUGCACUACUACAACUUGCAUACUACUGGCCUCAAAUGCGGGACGAUAUUGCAAUAUAUGUAAAAACUUGUCUUAUUUGUCAGCAAGAUAAGGCAGAUCAUCAGAAAAAGGCAGGCUUGCUGGAGCCCCUUUCCGUUCCAACCCGGCCAUUUGAAAGUGUAUCGAUGGACUACAUUAUUGGGUUGCCAAAAGUUGAGGAUUUUGGCACUAUCAUUGUCGUGGUGGACCGUCUAUCAAAAUAUGCAACUUUCAUUGCAGCGCCUAAGUAUGUAUCUGCGGAAGAGACAGCUCAACUCUUCUUCAAACAUAUUGUCAAAUACUGGGGGCUGCCUAAGGACAUCGUCAGUGAUCGAGAUCCUCGUUUCACUGGCAUAUUGUGGAUUGAGUUGUUCAAACUUCUUGGUUCAACUUUGAGCAUGAGUUCUAGUUUUCACCCACAAUCUGACGGACAGACGGAGCGCUUCAAUUCUAUGCUAGAAGAAUAUCUUCGGCAUUUUAUCUCUACUUCGCAGAAAAAUUGGGUAAAACUUUUGGAUGCGGCCCAAAUUUGCUUCAAUGCCCAAAAGAGCUCUUCCACCAAUAAGAGUUCUUUUGAGAUUGUUACUGGCCAGCAACCGCUACUCCCUCAUACAGUGGAUAUCGAACGAAGUACCAAAUCCCCUCAAACAAAGAGCUUUUCUCAAGAGUGGAAACGAAAUAUUGAAAUUGCUCGGAGUUAUCAUGAAAAAGCUCAAAAACGGUAUAAAAAGGCUGCAGAUCUAAAGCACCGUUUUAUUGAAUUCAAUGUUGGAGAUCUGGUAAUGGUUAAGCUUCCCGACAGAAAUGUUUACAAACCAACAAGAGGGAAGGACUCAAGAUUGUCACUAAAAUACAUUGGACCAUUAUCCAUUGUGAAGAGGAUUGGAAGAGUUGCAUACAGAGUUGAACUCCCUUCAUGGUGUAAAAUCCACAAGGUCCUUCAUGUUAGUGUGUUGAAGCCAUACUUUUCAGAUAAGGAGGACGCAUCUAGAAAUGAGCCAAAGCAACCUGUAUUUGAACUGAAGAAAGUUAGAAAGAAGGUUGCGGAAGCUAUUCUUGGCCAUCGAAUCACCCGGGCUUCUAGAAAAGAUCAUCAGGGGUACUUGGUCAAAUGGAUGGGAUGCAGCAGCGAGGAGAAUACUUGGGAAAGAGAAAAAGAUCUCGGGGCCUUCAAAUCGUUAAUUGAAGCGUAUCGUGCAUUGAUGGCAUCGAGGACGUCGCGAAACCAAAUGGGGGAGAAUGUCAAGGACCACAGCUUUACUUAGCCCUUUGACACUAUCGCAGCCGUAGUUUGCCCAACUUCAGCCACACAUUGUAAAUAUUACUUCAAGUUUGAGUUGUAAUUUUCUUUUCAUUGUAAUAGUUAUUUCAAUUGUAAAAUAGCUCUGAUAUUGGUAAAUGUUUAGUAUGAUUCCUCGUCUUUUAAACGUCUACUCCCGUCACUUGGGUUUUUGUUCAGAAUGCUAUUAUAGGGGGUAUUAGUCAUUCAAAAAUCUUUCAAGCUCACUGGUGUCCGUCCCCUGCACCAGCAUUUGUAAUUUUCUGCUUUCAUCAAUUGUAAUGUUCAGUUUUCAUCAAUCAAUAUUCAAUUUACUUUCAAUGUAUUCAAAUUCUCAAUUGUAAGCUUUCUACAAAUUUGCAAUCAAAUUUUCUUUCGUCCCGACGCGACCGAGAAAAGGCGGAAGGUAGUCUAGUGGAGCAGAUUACUGCCGCACGGUAUCCCUUUCUGUGCCAAGAAGAAAGGCACCCCGUGAAACAUGGACUCAUGCUUUCUCGUACAUAUUUACUCAUCAAUUCCCCAGCUUGCCUUUAAAAUUCCUUUGCCUCCUCUGGAUUACUUCGAUAAGCCGGUCGAUUCGGAAUGAUAGCGCUAGGUAUGAAAUCAAUUUGGUGCUCAAUUCCCCUAAUGGGUGGUAACCCACUAGGCAUGUCCUCCGGAAACACGUCUUCAAAUUCUUGUAACAAAGAAAUAGCCAAACUAGGGAGGGAUGUGUUAUGUUCCUCAAAGUUUAGGAGUGAUUCCUUGUAAACCAACAGUAUCAUUUGUUGCCUUUCAACUAUUGCCUUUCAACUGUUGCCUUUUUCAAUUCUCCCUCUCACAAAGAAAUUUUGUUUCGACUUUUCUAUCCUCUUGGAAGACUCUUUUUUUUCUCUCAUGUGGCUCCACUCUCCUUUCCUCUCUAUUGGCCGCCUUACUAUUUUGUCUCUUUUUUCAUAACUCCCUCACUCUCGCUUCUUCAUUUUUCAAUUGAAUUUGGUUCUCAUAUACUUGUGCCGGUGUUAAGUAUAUGUCGGUACUAUACUUAUUUUUAUACCCAUCAUGCAUUGCUUUCCUAUCGUACUGCCAUGGUCUCCCCAACAAGAUAUGCCCGCAGGCAUAGGUACAAUAUCGCACAUUACCUCAUCCUGAUAUCUACCAAUGGAAAAAUUAAUCAACACCCUUUUUGUCACCUUAACUUUCCCACAUUCAUUUAGCCAUUGUAAUUUAUAAGGUCUAGAAUGUUUUAACAGUGUUAAACCCAAUUUUUCCACCAUGUUAGUGCUAGCCACAUUAGUACAACUACCGCCAUCUAUUAUCGCACUACAUACCUUGCCAUUGACGUGACAUCGCGUGUGGAAUAUGUUUUCUCGCUGCUGCUCCAAGUCAUCCAUCUUGAUUUGAGCACUCAGAGCUCGCCUCGUGACCAACAACUUACUGUUAAUUGCAUACUCUGUCGUAUCUUCUUCAUCAACAUCCUACAAUUUUGGUAUGUCUGUAUAAUCACUCUCACUUUCAGUUUCCACUUCCCCGUUGUCCCGCAGAAUCAUGGUUCUCUUGUUUUGUAUUGAGAAGCAAUGUGUCCCACUCCUAAGCAACGAAAACAUUUGACGUCUCUGUUUCUUGAUGACUGUGACUCCCCCUUUGGCACGGCCUUGUUGGCACUCUCCUCCUUGCCUCUUGGUACCUCAGUUCUUCCUCUUGCAACAGUUCCUUCUCCUUUGUUAUUGUCCCACUUCGGUUUCACAGAAGAAUUAGAACCCGAAGAUCCCGAUUGGUACCUUGCUGUCCCCUUUCGCUUCAACUGGCUCUCGACCUUCAUUGCCACAUGUAACGUGACUUCAAUUUCCACAUAGUGCUGUAGUUCCACUGUAUUUGCAAUGUCCCUGUUCAAUCUACACAGAAAUCGAGCCAUGGUAGCUUCAUUAUCCUCCUCCACAUUUGCCUUAAUCAUUAGUGUCUCCAUCUCUUUAUGGUAAUCUUCCACACUCCUGGAGCCUUGAUAUAAAUUUUGUAAUCUUUGAUAAAGCUCCUGGUAGUAGUGAGUAUGUACAAACCUCUUCCACAUUAUAGUUUUCAAUUCCUCCUAUGUAUUGAUAGGUCACUCCCCAUUUUUCCGCCUCAAAGUCACCACUUGAUCCCACCAAGUGAUUGCAUAGUCCGUGAAUUCAAGAACUGCAAUUUUCACCUUCUUCUCUCCCAAGUAAUUGUGACAAUCAAAGAUUAACUCAAUUUUUUUCUCCCAGUCCAAGUAGGCCUCCGGAUUACUCUUACCUUUGAAUGAAGGAAUGGUCAUUUUAAUGUUACUCAAAUUCCCAUCCACCUCAUCUCCACCGAGAUUCCUACCUCUCCUUUCUUGCUUAACUCCUCUAUUUCUACCCCUUCCAAUAGCUGCAUCCACAAUCGCAUCUUCGUCCAUCCCACUAUCAACCUCAAAUUCACUAAACUCCUCCAUCCUAGGUUCUCGUCUACCCUGUUUCCGUGCAUUAAGAUCUCCUCUUUGUGUAUUGGCAGGCAAUGGAUUUUGCCUUCCCCCCAUACAUCCUGCCUAUUCAUCCGAUCCCUCGUAGCUACACAUAUCAGCUUAAUCCUUCGCACCGAGUCCUCUAGCAUGGAAACCCAAUCAUCAAUUCUACCUAAACUCGAUCCUUCCCUGUCAAACAUCCUAAAUCUAAGUUAUUUUUUGUACCUCACGAUUGUUCGCUCGGAAUUUCACUCAAUAUGGCUUUUUUUCCUCGAUUGUUCUCACUACCCUGCCUUUUAUCACUCGUUGCUUUCACCGAAUCCCCAAAAGAACAAUUUUGGAACUCAAUAAAAAAUUUAAUCACGUGGAAUUCAAAUCGGUGUGAGUGAGAUUACAAGACCAAGGAAUUUAGAAUAAUUUGACUGGCAAUUCAAACUAGACAAGUAAAGAAAUUGACUCAAGAACGCAAAACAAGAAAUGAAAUUACUGACUCAAAAUUUAAACUAGGCACAAAAUAAUAAAUUGACUCAAGAAAUCAGUAAUUUCCGAGAUCAACAAUAAUAAUAACAAUUUUUUAUUAUUUCAUUAUUAUUUCUUUAAAUUCGGAUUUUUUUUUUUAUCGUACGGAAGAACAGUUUUUUUUUUUUUUUUUUUUUUUUUUUUUUUUUUUUUUGGGAUAGAAAAUAAAAAAAAAACUGAAGCAAGAAACGGAAGUUGAUUUGGAUGCAAAUUGAAUCCAAAAACAACUUUUGAAGUUUUUUAAUAACUUUUUUGGAUUAAAGAUUCUAAAAUGCUAACUGACUCGAAGAACAGUAAAAAAAAGGAAUAACUGACUCAACAAGAAUUAAAAUGAGAUAUAACCUUGGAUUGGAGUCAAGCUCUGAUAUCAAUUGAUGUGAACCCACGUAGGCAAAUGCUAUGGAACCCACGAACAAGAUGGAAAUCUUACCAAGAAAGUCAAAGCAAGGUUUUGGAUUUGAAUUCGAUAAAUCUGGAACCAAGUAACCCGAAUCGCCGACGAUGUGCGGAUCUUUUGAUUACGCAAAAUUAUGGAAUCUCACUCGGUUGAUUGAACGCUACAAGAAUUAGAUCUUGAUGAGUUCGAAAGUUGUUCAAUUGGAAAAACAAAGAGAAUAAUUAAAGCCUUUCAAUUAAUCAAUAUGUCAAAGGUUCUUUACAAUGAAAGAAUAAACUUUUAUUUAUACUAAAUCCUAGAAUAGAAGUAAAAAAGGAAUAAAAUAUUAAUAAUCUAGUAAAGUUUCGAAAAUAACCAUCCAAUGUCAUAAGAAUUUGACUAGGAUUAAAAUUCUAACAAAAUAUGGAAAAACGCAGAAAAAGGAAAUUUUGUCCCCGAAAUAACACUAUGCAAUUGCAUGGCAGACCAGUUUGCCUCCGUUUUCGUUGGCUUGUAUUGAAUUGAUCAAAUUUGAUUCGACUCUUGACCCGAACAUGAAAGUUGCCCCGUUUUACGUCCCGAAUAUCGUUCCAUCAAUGAUUUCUUGAACGAGCAAUCCCAUCGCCUCGUUUACUCGCUUCCUCCUCGCUCGAUUCAUGGGACCGCUCUCGACUAUCAACGGAUCCUUCUUCGGACUUGACGUUGGAAUUGACCUUGAUGCUUGCGGCUCCUGGAUCACAUUAGUAUCGCUCAUACUGGUUCUUUUGUUGUAAUUAUGCUAUUUAAAAUUUCCACAAGUUCAAUUGAUUUUAUGUCAGUUCUAGACCUCUAGAGUAUUGCUUGGUCAUUGUCACAUCUGGUUUCUUGCUUUGGAAGGAUUUUGAUUGUAUAUUUUGACACGACUUGUCUCCUGGGAUGAAUAGAGUGCGCGUUGGCAACUUGUUAUUUUUCAAACCUAGUUGAAACUUUUUUUUACAACCAAAUGACAAAGGUUACUGUAAUAGCAAAAGAAUGAAAUUGAUUACUGUUUUACUGACCUUUAAAGUUCAGGUCAAUGAAUAACCAGAGAUUCUCAAAGAGCUGAUAAAAUUCAAUAAAUAAAAUACAUGGAGGGAGAGAAGGGUUAGCAUCUUCUUCAUAGGGAUUGCAAUCGUAUUCACUUGGAACUUAUUAAAAAUUUGUUAGUAGGAUGUGACUUUGAUGAUUUCAUGCUGAAGUUCAAGGUAAUCUGUCAGAUGCACAUACAUGUUACAUCAUCUAGUUGGUGCAGUAUGCUGGUCUUUAUUAAGAUCCAAAUUUUUGGAUAACAACAAAAGAGAUUCUCAGUGUUAUAAUACUUAUUGAACUUCUUUAGAGGCAGAAUAUUAUUCUGCUUUUGUUACGGAUGAGCUUAUGAGCCAUAUCUAAGAUAAGGUCCCUUGGUGUGCAUUAUCUACAAAUGAUAAUAUUUUAGUAAUGAGAUUCACAUUGUAAGAGGCGUAAAUCUCAAAUUAGAACUUUGUAUUGCUUGGGAAUUUAAGCACUCUAGAUUAAGUAGAACUAAGACGAAAUACCUGGAAUGCUCUUUUAAUCAAAAUAGAAAUGAAGAUUGAAAAAGUCAAAAUAAAGUUGUGUUCUCCUUAUGUGCAGACAUUUUUGGGUCAAUGAAUUUGAUCUUUAAGCUUGUUUGGGAAGUGUUUAUAAACGAUUUAAAUUAUAAAUAGAUAAAAAUAAGUUUUGGAUAAGUAAAUAAUACUUGUGGAUCUUUCGAAAUGUGUGGAUAAAAAGUGACUUAAGUGUUUAUAAACAGUUUAUGAACAUGAGCCAAACAUAGGCUAAGUAAAGGUCAUGAAGAUGUGUAUUACAUAAUAUUAGGCUAAUUAUGCUAUAUGUACAUAGCAGGUCAUUAGAUGACGAGAUAUCGACAUAAUUAAUCAUAGCAGAAAUAUAUAUACUAAAAUGAGUGUGCAAUCAACUUAGAAUGAAUAAAAUAAGAAAUGAAGCUGUAAGACAAAAAUGGAUUAAGGGAGGCUUUUACAUGGUUGUAUAGAUAUUUUCAUAGACCUAAAGCUGCUAUUCACAAUAAAGGUGCAGUCUCGAUUGAACAAGUUAGAAAAGGCAGAAGUAGACUGAAGUUAAUAUGUUCCCAGAUGGUUGCAUAAAAAAUUGAGUUUAUUGAACUUUUUAGAGGUAGCUAUGAAUCAAUAACGGCAAAGAAAGAUGUGACAACUGAUCUGAAAUUUAUUGGCAAUAAAAAAUUGCUUUCUUCUUGUUGUUAUGACACAUGCCAUCAAGGGCAGCCUAUUUAUUGUUUGCUUUGUAUCUACCUCAGUAUUUGUUCUAUAUUUUAAAACCAUUCUUUGUCAAUAUUCCAUAAACCUAUUGUUGUUUUCUUGACCUUUCUUAGAUUCCCUCUUCAUUGAUGAUUUGUGUUUGAUUUGAAUGAGCGGAUGUUUCCUGUACAAAUACCCAUUUUUAACUUUACUUUAUGUUUCUUGAUGCUUAAGCUGCAGUUCUAUGGAAAAUUUGAGUUUGUCCUUUAAAUGUGAUUGCUUUGAUUUAUAGGGAAAUCUUCAUGCUUAUUAUUCAUUGGUAUAAUUGCUCAUCCAUGGUGCCGCAUGAUUUGUCCAACCAUGGCAUGUUGAUAAUACCAGGAUUAGUUGAACCUUCAACAAAUAUUGAUUUGCAGCCGCAUGUAUACGUGACUUGACUAAACUAUGCAGGCUAUGAAAAGAAUAGUUUCUAAGUUUUCAUUGUUCCAGGCAUCCAAUGUAUAUUUUUAUCUAAUUUUCUCUAAGCUCAUCACUAGUUUAUCAUUUUUGAUGGGUGGAAUUUUGUUCUUUGUCUACAUCUGGUUGCAUAAACUCAAGUUCCUUUUUUCUUGAACUCUCAAUUACGUAACUCUUGAGUCUUUGCUAUGCUCUUUUGCUUGAGUUCAUGAUUUCUAACCCGUUACUAAUUUUUGUUAAAAUGCCUGUUUGUCCACAGCUUACUACUUUCGGUCACAAGCAUUUUUCUUGCUUUCGUAUAGCCAUCUCAUACUUUUUUUCCCCCUGUUAUACAGAUACUCUUAACAAAUAUUUAUCAUUUGGAAUAGUUGAUCUUGGACUUUUCCUAAUGCCGCUGAGAAGUUCUGAAUCACUCUCGGUAGAAAUAUAUCAUGACUUAGGAUCAUUUCUAGUAGCUUUGAUCACCAUUUAUCUCAAGUUAAUUUUUUGACUGUUGUCACUAUGUUACGUAAUAUUAUACACUAAGUGCAUUUUCGGUCACAAUAUUGGAUGUUGGAUAGGACUAGAUAGUUUAAUAAACAAAGUUUUAGUUUUUUUCUUUCUUAGUUAGUGUCGAGUGCUAUCCAAUACUCCCUUCCAAGCAUGCCAUAAUUGUUGUUCUGUCUUCAUGUAUACUUCCAUCGUUAACUAUUUUUCCGAAACUGUGCAGCAAGCCUACACCAGCUUCUAGUAUAUAUAAUGUUCUACAAUGGAGCUGAGUUGACGUGCUUACCUGACAUGGAUUUUGAGACAAAAGUUCUCGAUUCUCCCAUCUUGAAGGUAAUUUCACAAAGAUUUAGCGCAACAGCUUCCUUGCUCUUUUCUUCUGAAAUAUGUAUGCUUUUGAAACCAUAAUCUAAAAGGCUUUUACAUCUGUUCUGCGUUGAAUCUCUCAGUUUGUCCGUGCUCGUACAAAACCUUCAUGAUUUUGUCUACUGUAAUAAUGACUGCUUGUUAAGUUUUCUAAAUUUUGACCACGUCACUCAUCAUGUUAAGAAUAUAAACAAUUAGUUGUUACUCUAGUGCAUCAUUUAAACAUUUGGACAAACUGAAGUAGCAACUGCAAAUUAACCACAACCUAUACAGAAUCACAUUCAGAACUUGUUAUCUACUACUGACUCACAUGACACUUUUCAUAGCAUUACAUCAGAGCUCAAGCUACCAUGACACUUUAUCCAAAAAUCAAAAAGAGGAACAAGGGGGAUCAUUUACAUUAAUACAUAUCCCUGAUGGGAUUAACAAAAAAAUGCAAUAUGCUAAUUCUAAUACUUGUCCCUUCUUUCUGUACUACUGGUGGUUGCUUCUUUCAUACGUAGUUAAUUCGGAGUUCUACUGAUAUAUCUCAUAAGAACUAGUAGCAUAGCGGACAGUUACUGCAUAGAUGAUUCCAACUUAAAGAGAUCCUCAUCUUGAGCAUCGUUGGACCAUAUGUCCAUUCAAAUUUUCCAAUGAAACUCCCAACCAUCUCAGGUAAUAGCUGGAUUAUUAUCAAAAUACUUAACGCCCCCUCUAGGUUGUUAUCUGAAAAAAGAAUAAAUAAAGGGGUGAGUUUGCCCAGUGAGUGAAAUAUGGUGCAAGUGUGAGAUUGAUGCAUGAAAUGAAAUAAAAAAUUCUCGUCUUCCUUUCCUUUGGGCCCGUACGGAGUCGUCGUUUGUAUGCUUGAGCUCAAUUAUUCCAUGAAAGUGGCAAAUGAAAUGAAUAAUUCUUGCAUUUUCUUGGCUAUCAUAUUCAUAAAUUUUGACAUAAUGCCAUAUGUGAUACUUUUACUAAAAUGUUGAUCAUUUGAGCUGUCGAUCACCUUCAAAUUAUCACAACAACAAAUAUUCACAAAAAGGUCGAGCUCUCAUCGGUUCAUUGAAUAACAUGGUGAUCUUAAACAUGUAUUCUAAGGCAACGGCCCAAAGACCUUAGUAUACAACCUAAAUUAAUUUUGCUCGCAUUUUAUGCUGCUUUAGGAUUUGUGAAACUUGAAGAGGUAAGGUUGGACAUCACAAGUUCUUGUUAGGAGUCCUAUGUAUCAAUUCUUUAUUCCUAUUGGAUCACGUUCUGGUCCCAUGUUCUAUUUUUAAACUUUCUGGUAACACACUAAUGCAUGUGAAUGUGUUCUACGGUGUGAUUUAGUGCAUGCCAUAGGAAUCACGGUCUUCCAGGGCACCAAGUUUUUUUGAUUUUUCACAAUUGUGAAUGAAAGAUAAAAUGGAUGAGCAAUUAAUAAUUUUGAUUAUGCUGUUCUUUGACAAAUGCCCAUGUGGUUCCUUUUUUUUUUUUUUCCUCCAGAAACUUCUUUGCCGGCAUUUUGAGCUCGAUAAACUUAUCCUCGAUUAUGUAAAAGCUAAAUAGGUAAGUAUUGGAAUUUGAAGCAUAUCCUAUUACUCAAGAAAUUUUGAGCUUUUAUUCCUUAUGAUUCGAUCAAAUUCUAUUUGGUAUCAUAGUAAAAGUUAAAUGAGUUAUUUUCAUGUAUUCAUGCUCUAUAGUAGCAAAGCAGGACUAGGCAGUUCAAUAUGCUUUUCCUUGAAAAUCAAUUGGUUUUACAUUCUGUGUUCUUACAGCUAGUAACUUAUUCUUCGGGUGCUUCAUUCCCUUGUUUUGUAUAUGGUAUAAAAUUUUACAUUCAUUGCCGAAUUGUCCCAAUACCAUGUUUAAAACACCCACUUCACAGAAGCUUAUCUAGUCAUUGGUUUGUUCCACACAGUUGAAUUUCUUCCCUAGUUUUUGCCUUCCUAUGCUUAGAAUCAAGAAAAAAACAUAGUCGUGCCAUUACAUAAUGUAAAAUCUACUGAAUUUCUCUUCCCAACAAACAAGAAACCUGCAAUCAAUUCUCUUUAGGUAAAUGAGAACGAAAUAUAUACCCAAUAUAAUACAUUCAUCAUCAAAUAUUCAAUCCCAGUCCCCAGAUUUGAUAUUAAAAUCUAAUUUUGGCUAAACAUAUUGUUGAUGCUCUCACCAAUUUGUUUCAUGGUGUCUGAUUUCUAUUGCAUGAAUUCCCCAAGGGCCCCUCCAAGAUGGUAUAAUCACUUAUUUCUCUUUAACUUUUCUAAAUGGAAACAAACAAUUUGAGAUGGAAUUAGAAGAGUAUUACACUUCACCCCUUUCUGUAUCUUCUUCAACCGUGGAGUGGACCAUUCUCUGAAAUGGGCUAACCCUUUUUCCCAAAGUUAGAUUUUUUCUCUAGAAAACAUUCUCACAAACUUCCAAUUAUUGCCAAAUCCUUCAAAUGACAAUAGUGUGUUAGCUUGCACAUGCUGGCCCUUGAAAUAAUGAAUUAUUAUGUCCAUAAAAUAUUGGAUAUGCUGAAUUGAAUUGUAUAAAAAAAAGAUUAAAGAGGAAAAAUAAAUUAUCUAGCUUGCUCAAAUGUAGUUCGCUUUGGAAACGAGGUCAAAUGACAUAAAUCUCUGAUUUCAAAGUUUUAUAAUGUCUCAACUAAUGCCUGUCGCGUUAAACUUUCAUAGCUGGACAUGGUCCGAUUUGGUUCGAUUUUAAUGAGAAUCGAAUCGGACUCAAAAUUUUCGGAUAUUUAGUAAGUGAACUGUCGGAUCCAAAUUUAAUUAAGGAACGUUCGGGUUCAGUUUCAUUUGGUCCGUUUCCAUUCAAUUUUUGGGUUCCAUACCAUAAUUAAAUUUUUUAAUAUUUACAAAGUUACAUUAAUUUAAAUACUGACAUGUUCAAUUUUAGCUCUUACAAAAUAAUGUAAUUCAAUUUUAUGUGUUUUUUGAGUCUCUCUUUGCUUAGUUCUUCAUAGAUUUGAUUGUUAAAAUCAUAUGAAGAGGAAGAUAGAGAGCUCACAAUAAUUAAGAGAGGCGUUGUCGAGUUUCAAUUCGAUUUCUCCAGAAUUGUAGAAACGGUACUAUAGUAGAAUAACAGAUUUGAGUAAAACUUAGGUUAAUUUGAUUAAAUUGGUUUGGAUUGAAAAUUAAAAAUAGGAAAAUCAUAUUUUUGGUUUUGAGCUAAAUUAACUAAUUAACAAAUUUAUUUAGAAAAAAUAAUUUGGCUUAUUUAAAAUAAAUUAAUUAAAAAAUUAGGAAGAUUCAGUUCUUAUUUGGUUAUUCGGUUCUUGAUUUAGAAUCGAGAAUCGAACCGAACCUUUCGGCUCUCGAUUCAGAUACUCGUUCGGGUAUUUAACUUCAAAAGAACCGUUCGGUUCAGUUUGAUUCGAUUUGGGUUCGGUUCGGGAGUUUUGUCUUGCCCUAAACUUUUAUAUAGUUGUGUUGUACACUAUUGUCCAUUAUUGAUAGAGAACAUGCUUUUCAUGAAAUAUCCACAGGUAUAGAAUUCAUUCGUAUGGUAUCUACAAACAAAUUUAGAUCGUCAUUCAUGACUCACACUAUAAUUAAGUAGGACACGAAUUCUUGACUUUUUUUUGUCAGUGCAUUGGAAUUUCUUCUAAAUUUCAAAAGUCCUUAGCAAGCGCUAGUAGAAGAAAUAGAUUGAUAGAGAGGUUUCCACUAGUACACACACUUCAAUCUCGCCUACUAUUCUCCUUAUGAUAAGAUUUUCAACUCCUUUAAGUGUCUGUCAAACUUUGUUUUUAUGAAUAUCAGUCAUUUCAAGUUGAAAAUGAAUCUUUCAUUUCAUUUGAUUUCAUUCACCAAUUUCAAGUAAAUCUAGAAUGAUUGAUUAAAUUUCCUUUGUUUUGUACUUUUGAAUGGUCAAAAGUUAUUUACAUAAUAAGCCCUUUGUAUUAGAUAGUGCAUUAGUCGCAUUCUCUGAUGUUGAAAUAUUUUUAUUAAUCAUCCCAUUUACUCCCCCAUAAAAUAUCAAAUGCCCAUAAUUUAAAUUUUCAAAACUGGCCACUGCUUAAAGCUGUGGUGAGUCAUUGGAUCAUAGAAGAGGUGUGGUUGCAUAAAGAUCCGGCAUUUUGAUAAAAAUACAGCCAACUUGGAAUCGAUUGAUACUUACAUAUACAAGUACGCAAAAUAUAUUAACUUGAAAAAUGUUAGAGGUCUGGUAUCAUAACUAAAAGAUAUGAUUAUUAACUUGAAUCUCGUAAUAAAAUCUCCUUUGGAAAAACCAUGAAAACCCAACGAUUUCUUUAGACAUAAAAGCAUUUUCUGUGGGAAGUCAUACUUCUGCAAAGGCAAGAGGGCACUGUAUCCAUCGUUCAAGGAGUGUGAUAAUUUUGUAGACAAGAAACACUUUGCAUUUGAAUACUGCAUAUCAUGCAUGUUCCUGAAUCUCCUGGCAAUUAAGAGGUCAAACUACUUUUUCUUCUUUUUCACAAGAAAAUGGUCGGCAUUAGAUGAUAGAGUAGGUUUUACUAUACUCAAAAGUUACUUUCUUGAAAUUAUGAAGAGCUGAACAUGUCAACCCUUCGGUAGGAUAAGUUCUAAUAAUACUCACUAAUGUUUAACACUCUCUGGGCUUCCAUUACUUCAAAAAGAUCUUUAAAAAACUUCAAUAAUUUACUUUUCCUAAAUCCCUCCUAUAAGUCAAAAUUAACACACAAGUGCGCUGGUCAAAUGAUCUACUAAAGUGGGUUGGUGUCAAGUACUCAAAUGGACCUGUUUGCACGUGUAUUCAAUGAUCAUCAUGAUUAGAGAUGAUCUUGAUCUUAAAUAAAACUAGCUGGCUCAAAUGAAAGAAUCAAUCAUGAAAAAAAGAUGUAUUUUACGUGCAAGAUCUGCACAAAUUGCACCAAAGUAGGGAAAAAAUAGGAGACGAGACAUAAUUUAUUCUUUUUUUGCUACUCUUGAUUGAUAGAACUUUUCUGAAUAUUGGGAGGAAAAAUACACUUUUUGAACAGAAAGAAGAACCCUUUUGCAUGGUCUCCAAGAAAACUAUAAUUAAAAUCUUGAAUCUUUUGAGAUUAGAAACUUGAAAGUAAAAUCAAAUCCAUGACAGCAAAUCUUAGCUGUUUGAUCUUUUUCUAUGUUUGCUUGUUUAUAUUUUUAUGUUUAGACUUAUCUUUAUGAAUGGAAUCUUCUAUCUGUACAAGUGUGUUCUCAUUGAGAAAAAGUGAAUAGGGUUAUUGUCACAAUUAUCAUUUUUCAGUAGGAAGAGAAGAAAAAUAAUGGGUUUGGGAGAAAAAAUGUGAAGCACCAUCAUUAG